CCCUAUCUUUUUAUCUACAUCUAACAGUGCGCGCGCAAUCAAAGUGCCUUUAUCGAAAGAUUUAUUUUCUUAUGAUUGUUGGGUAUCCUUCUUUUUUGAUGGAUUUUUUGUGCCUGCAUUGAAAUAUUGAAUUUUGGUUGUAAAGGAUGAGUUUGUUCAUGCCAAUGUUCUAAUUGUUAUUAAAUUGCCCAGUAAUCCACUUGUCAGUUUCCAAUGAUAAUUGGGAUUUUGUAUUGUUUGAUAAGGUUUGCCUUUGCAUGGAGUAAUUAGACUUGGGAUGUUGCACUUUUCAUGUUUUUUUUCUAUUGCUGAUUGCUGUCUAUCAAGUAUCAAUUCCAACUUCAUUGGAUUAUUAUAGAAUUCUUUCCUUUUUCUUCGUUUGCAAUUUUUAUUGACAUUCUAUGGGAGCUCUUCACUCACAGAAAACUGGGAAUUACUUUUCUUUAUUCUUGUUUACUAAAAUUUUGAAAUUAGUAGCUAAAAUCAUUCACCAAAGAGUGUUUACUUCCUUACAUAUCUAUGUCUCAUUGCAUCUCUUCCCUACAGCCUAAAAGAUAUCAUGAGAAGCCCGAAGUAUUGAAAAAUCUAGGCUUUAUACAAAAAGAGGGGAAAAAUGGUCUGAAAAUCCACAGGUCUGUUAGGCCCUUUCUAGUAGAUAGAUUGAUAUUUGUUCGGAAAUUAAUGUGUCUCUUUCUUUUGCAAGCAUUAAAGGGUUUUUGAUUAAAAGAAUCCAUUUCCAAAAUAUAAUUAUUUUGUUUACCAGUUCAGAUUUGAUCCCAAUUGUUAAGUCUCAAAUUUUGGGCUCCCUCCCCCCUUCUGCUCUUUUUAAUUGCCAUCUCAUCCUUCUAUUCUUAUUUCUUGACGAAUCCCUCAAACAACACUUGCUUCCAAGUUUGGAUUCUGAUUGGUAUUAUCUAGCUGAAGUCUGGUUUGUGGAGCUGCUCGAGGAGUCAACUGAUUUACGCCAAACCAUGAGCAAACAAAAGAGUUAGAAAUACUAGCCAUUUGAAGGAAGAAAAAUCGAAGUAUGGACAGGAUUAAAGGAAUAGAUGCAAUGUGACAUAUAUGUGCACAAAAAAUUGUUGACAGGGAAAUGGCUGUGGUAUUUCGUGCAGAAGCCUGGAAUUUCCAAUAAUUUAGUUACUUCAUUGAUAAGGGGGUAGAUAUGGGCUCAAGAAGAAGAUGGAAAAAAAUGGCUGCUUGGUUGAAUAUUCAAUCAGGAGACCCGGAAAACAGUGACAGCCCGUGGCAUAAAUUUCUGGUCUUCUCUUUCUUUUUUUUGGAGUGAAUUAUCUUUCAGGUUUUUUUCCUUGCUUGAUUUAUUGGUAGAAAUAGGGGAUCUUAUAAUUGUUACCACUAUCCUAAUUCUGCUUACACGUAAGAAUAUAUUCUCCCCAUAUAUCAUUUUUUGAUAGUUCCUGCUGAAUUGAUCCUUCAAAUCCUUAGAACAAUAGGGAUUGAAUAGUUUUCCUCAAUGAAUUCACGUUUAGUUUUGUAAAACAAUUCUUUGAACCUUAGUUGCAGUGGGAGCUUAUUUCUAUGCUAACCAAGAAUUUUUGGAUCAUAUACUUCUUUAUCAUUCGAAGAGUUUCCAAGUAGAUGGUAUAGCUUUAUGAGUGCCAGCCGUUCAACAUCUAUUGAAUUUCUGGUCUCUAGUAGUUAUACAAAUCCUUUUUGCCUUUACAGUCUCCUUAGGCUAAUCUACUAUUGUUAUCUCAUAAGCACUAAUCUCUUUUCUUGCCACUUUUGCUAACUCAUUUAUGGCCUUCCCUUUGCUGCUUCAACAGCUCCAAUUUGCAUCAUUCCACUCUCCUGUUGGUGCAUUUAUUUGAUACGCUGAACUAGCCUGACCAACUUACCGUCUCCUUCCUCAAAUUCUUUCCGUAUUUAAUUAUAUCCUUUAUGGUCUUAUCACAUAUCCAACUCAAUAUUCAAAUCUCAACUGUGUUGUUUAUUUGUUGUUCAUUUACUGCUGGCCCUUUCAUCAUCUAAAAUUUACUCUUUAUUUUCAAAUACAACGCACAUCAACCAUUUGACACUUAAGCUACUUCCCAAUUUGUCAAAUUACCUGGGAAAAUUCUUAUGAUUGGAGCAAGGUAAUGAAAAAAUGUAUGCUCUAGGAUAUCUUUUGGUUAUUGGUGGUGUUAACUAAUUCUUCUUUGUACUCAUAUUUUACUAAAGUUUCUCUACAUAUAUUUGUUGUAGUCCAACUAUUUUAAAACCUUUUAAUUUUAAAGCAACCCUCUAUUAUUCUGACUUGAUAUCUAGUCCCUCUAGUCUUUUCAGUCAAAACUAUUUCAUUGAAAGACAACAUUCAGUAUUCGACUACAUGAUUUAUAUAUGCAGUCAAUUUGUUUAUAACUUAUAUUGAAAUUUCUAUGGUCAAUGUUGAUCCCUGGUGUAACCUGCAGCUGAUACCAUGCUCAUCUCUCCUUUGGUAUUUCUAACAUUAGAUACUGCUCCUUGCAUAUUCUUAAUUACAUGAACAUCAGAACAUCAUGCUUUGCUCCCCUUCUAAUAGUCAUAUGCUUUCUAUGUCAACAAGGACGACAUCUUUGCAUGGUUGCGUAUUGGCUUUAGAAAAAUAUUUGUAAUACUUUUGCAGAUGCCAAACUUUACAUUGUUCUAGCAAUUUUAUUUUCCAGUUGUUCUCUUUUAUUAAGCCUAGUCUGAACUGUUUAAUUCUUUAAUUUGAACUUCAAUAAUAGUGUUGUUAAU